rnacentral:rRNA from 1 species
AGUGGGGGACAACGUUUCGAAAGGAACGCUAAUACCGCAUACGUCCUACGGGAGAAAGCAGGGGACCUUCGGGCCUUGCGCUAUCAGAUGAGCCUAGGUCGGAUUAGCUAGUUGGUGAGGUAAAGGCUCACCAAGGCGACGAUCCGUAACUGGUCUGAGAGGAUGAUCAGUCACACUGGAACUGAGACACGGUCCAGACUCCUACGGGAGGCAGCAGUGGGGAAUAUUGGACAAUGGGCGAAAGCCUGAUCCAGCCAUGCCGCGUGUGUGAAGAAGGUCUUCGGAUUGUAAAGCACUUUAAGUUGGGAGGAAGGGCAGUAAGCUAAUACCUUGCUGUUUUGACGUUACCGACAGAAUAAGCACCGGCUAACUUCGUGCCAGCAGCCGCGGUAAUACGAAGGGUGCAAGCGUUAAUCGGAAUUACUGGGCGUAAAGCGCGCGUAGGUGGUUCGUUAAGUUGGAUGUGAAAGCCCCGGGCUCAACCUGGGAACUGCAUCCAAAACUGGCGAGCUAGAGUAUGGCAGAGGGUGGUGGAAUUUCCUGUGUAGCGGUGAAAUGCGUAGAUAUAGGAAGGAACACCAGUGGCGAAGGCGACCACCUGGGCUAAUACUGACACUGAGGUGCGAAAGCGUGGGGAGCAAACAGGAUUAGAUGCCCUGGUAGUCCACGCCGUAAACGAUGUCGACUAGCCGUUGGGAUCCUUGAGAUCUUAGUGGCGCAGCUAACGCAUUAAGUCGACCGCCUGGGGAGUACGGCCGCAAGGUUAAAACUCAAAUGAAUUGACGGGGGCCCGCACAAGCGGUGGAGCAUGU